rnacentral:rRNA from 1 species
AACGAACGCUGGCGGCAGGCUUAACACAUGCAAGUCGAGCGCCCCGCAAGGGGAGCGGCAGACGGGUGAGUAACGCGUGGGAAUCUACCCAUCUCUACGGAAUAACGCAUGGAAACGUGUGCUAAUACCGUAUACGUCCUUCGGGAGAAAGAUUUAUCGGAGAUGGGUGAGCCCGCGUUGGAUUAGCUAGUUGGUGGGGUAAAGGCCUACCAAGGCGACGAUCCAUAGCUGGUCUGAGAGGAUGAUCAGCCACACUGGGACUGAGACACGGCCCAGACUCCUACGGGAGGCAGCAGUGGGGAAUAUUGGACAAUGGGCGCAAGCCUGAUCCAGCCAUGCCGCGUGAGUGAUGAAGGCCCUAGGGUUGUAAAGCUCUUUCACCGGUGAAGAUAAUGACGGUAACCGGAGAAGAAGCCCCGGCUAACUUCGUGCCAGCCGCCGCAGUAAGAC